UACGGAGGGUGCGAGCGUUGUCCGGAAUCAUUGGGCGUAAAGGGCUCGUAGGUGGCCAACUAAGUCAGACGUGAAAUCCCUCGGCUUAACCGGGGAACUGCGUCUGAUACUGGAUGGCUAGAGAUUGGGAGAGGGAUGCGGAAUUCCAGGUGUAGCGGUGAAAUGCGUAGAUAUCUGGAGGAACACCGGUGGCGAAGGCGGCAUCCUGGACCAACACUGACGCUGAGGAGCGAAAGCCAGGGGAGCAAACGGG
rnacentral:rRNA from 1 species